GACGAACGCUGGCGGCGUGCUUAACACAUGCAAGUCGAACGGUAAGGCCCUUCGGGGUACACGAGUGGCGAACGGGUGAGUAACACGUGGGUGAUCUGCCCUGCACUUCGGGAUAAGCCUGGGAAACUGGGUCUAAUACCGGAUAGGACUCCUGCCUGCAUGGGUGGGGGUGGAAAGCUUUUGCGGUGUGGGAUGGGCCCGCGGCCUAUCAGCUUGUUGGUGGGGUGAUGGCCUACCAAGGCGACGACGGGUAGCCGGCCUGAGAGGGUGACCGGCCAGACGGGGACUGGGAUACGGUCCAGACUCCUACGGGAGGCAGCAGUGGGGAAUAUUGCACGAUGGGCGCAAGCCUGAUGCAGCGACGCCGCGUGAGGGAUGACGGCCUUCGGGUUGUAAACCUCUUUCAGCACAGACGAAGCGCAAGUGACGGUAUGUGCAGAAGAAGGACCGGCCAACUACGUGCCAGCAGCCGCGGUAA
rnacentral:rRNA from 1 species